GACGAACGCUGGCGGCGUGCUUAACACAUGCAAGUCGAACGAUGAAGCCUUUCGGGGUGGAUUAGUGGCGAACGGGUGAGUAACACGUGGGCAAUCUGCCCUGUACUUUGGGAUAAGCCUUGGAAACGGGGUCUAAUACCGGAUAUCACUUACCUCCGCAUGGGGUUUGGUUGAAGUUACUGCGGUACAGGAUGAGCCCGCCGGCCGUAUCAGCUUGUUGGUGGGGUAGUGGCCUACCAAGGCGACGAC
rnacentral:rRNA from 1 species